AAUGAACGUUGGCGGCGUGGAUUAGGCAUGCAAGUCGAACGCUUUAUGUAGCAAUACAUGAAGAGUGGCGUAAGGGAGAGUAAUCCAUGGUUAGCUACCCUCGGGUCUGGGAUAGCGGCGGGAAACUGCCGGUAAUACCAGAUGACAUCUUCGGAUCAAAGGUGUGAUUCCGCCCGGGGAGGCGACCGUGUCCUAUCAGGUAGGUGGCGGUGUAAUCGACCACCAAGGCUAAGACGGGUAUGGGGCGUGAGAGCGUGCCCCCACUCACUGGGACUGAGACACUGCCCAGACACCUACGGGUGGCUGCAGUCGAGAAACUUCGGGAAUGGGCGCAAGCCUGACCGAGCGACGCCGCGUGCGGGAUGAAGGCCUUCGGGUUGUAAACCGCUGUCGUAGGGGAGGAAGCGACCGUGAAGAACGGAAGUUGACCGAUCCUAGGAGGAAGGGCCGGCUAAUCUCGUGCCAGCAGCCGCCGUAA
rnacentral:rRNA from 1 species